GAGACAGAGUUUUGCUCUUGUUGCCCAGGCUGGAGUGCAAUGGCGAGGUCUCGGCUCACUGCAACCUCUGCCUCCCAGGUUCAAGCGAUUCUCCCACCUCAGCCUCCUGAGUAGCUGGGACCACAGGUACAUGCCACCAUACUUGACUAAUUUUUUCUAUUUUUUUUUUUGUAGAGACGGGGUCUUGCCAUGUUGCCCAGGCUGGUCUCAACCUCCUGGGCUCAAGUGAUCCACCCACCUCAGCCUUCCAAAGUGCAGGCCAGGAUUACAUGCGUGAGCCACUGUGCCCGGCCUCUAGGAGGAACUAAAUAAAUAUUUUUCAAGGAUCGAUGGCAGUAUUCCCUCAAUUCCAGAAAAUAGACUCUUAGGCCACCGUCACUUUAUUCAAAUCACUCAAUCUUUCUAAAGUACAUUCAGCAGAAAUAAAGGUGUUAAAUAAUUUUUUUUUUUUUUUGAGAUGGAGUCUCGCUCUGUUGCCCAGGCUGGAGUGCAGUGGCGUGAUCUUGGCUCACAGCAAGCUCCGCCUCCCGGGUUCAUGCCAUUCUCCUGCCUCAGCCUCCCCAGUAGCUGGGACUACAGGCGCCCGCCACCAUGCCCAGCUCAUUUUUUUUUGUAUUUUUAGUAGAGACGGGGUUUCACCGUGUUAGCCAGGAUGGUCUCGAUCUCCUGACCUCGUGAUCCGCCCACCUCAGCCUCCCAAAGUGCUGGGAUUACAGGCGUGAGCCACCACGCCCAGCCAAUAAUUUUUUUAAAAAAUGAGUUCUGUUUUAAAAAAAUAAGAAACACUGAGUUGAAUGAAGUUGGGCCUCCCUAGCUGAGUCUUUAACAUGAUAAAUGUGCAGUCUUCCAGAAUGAGAAUGAGGCUAGGAUAAGCAGGGGUUCCUACAGUGUUUGAUUACAGAAUGCUUGGUGUUAUUUAUUGUUUUUUGGUAGAGCAUCUCCCAGGACAAAUGCAGGCCUGGCUACGUAAUUUACAGGACCCAGAGCAAAAAUGCAAAUGUGGGACCCCUUGGUUUUUCUUUUUUGAGACGGAGUCUCGCUCUGUUGCCCAGGCUGGAGUGCAGUGGCGUGAUCUCGACUCACUGCAACCUCCACCUCCCAGGUUUGAGUGAUUCUCCUGCCUCAGCCUCCUGAGUAGCUGGGAUUACAGGCACCCACCAACCACGCCUGGUUAAUUUCUGUAUUUUUAGUAGAGAUGGGGUUUCACCAUGUUGGUCAGGCUGGUCUCAAACUCCCGACCUCAGGUGAUCCACCCGCUUCAGCCUCCCAGAGUGUUGGGAUUACAGGCGUGAGCCACCACACACUGCGGGACCCCUUGUUCAAAGAUGAUUAUGAAUUUCAAGAAGGCAACAGCGGAGCAUGAACACCCAAGCCUGGGCCUUUCUAGGCUGGGGGCAUCGUUAAACAGCUUGCAUGCCCCUGAGGCUCACCGUGGACUAGUUCUAUGGGGAUGUACUCUCGUAAAUGAGGACUUCUGUGGUAACAAAUAUCUCAUUUCAUUUUUAUAAAAUUAUCACUUUGGUUUUAGAAAGUGGGCCUCAUUUAGCAGGGAGAACUGGAGACCACUGAAUU
rnacentral:lncRNA from 1 species